rnacentral:rRNA from 1 species
UCGGGAGUAACAACCUGGAAACAAGAUGCUAAUACCGGAUAACAACAGAUGAUGCCUAUCAACUGUUUAAAAGAUGGUUCUGCUAUCACUCUUGGAUGGACCUGCGGUGCAUUAGCUAGUUGGUAGGGUAACGGCCUACCAAGGCGAUGAUGCAUAGCCGAGUUGAGAGACUGAUCGGCCACAUUGGGACUGAGACACGGCCCAAACUCCUACAGGAGGCAGCAGGG